UCCGGUUUGGCACCGGCGGUCUCCCUAGAGUCCCCAGCAUGACCCACUGGCAACUAGGAACAGGGGUUGCGCUCGUUGCGCCACUUAAGGCAACACCUCACGGCACGAGCUGACGACAACCAUACAGCACCUGUACAAACUCCCGAAGAAACACCGGCUUUCACCGGCUUCACCCUGCAUGUCAAGCCCAGGUAAGGUUCUUCGCGUUGCGUCGAAUUAAGCCACAUGCUCCGCCGCUUGUGCGAACCCCCGUCAAUUCCUUUGAGUUUUAGCCUUGCGACCGUACUCCCCAGACGGGAUGCUUAAUGCGUUAGCUUCGGCACGGAACGGGUUGAUGCGCCCCACACCUAGCACCCAUCGUUUACGGCUGGGACUAC
rnacentral:misc_RNA from 1 species